rnacentral:misc_RNA from 1 species
GCUCGUCAUAAAAUAUUUUCAUGCGGACACUUAACAGAACUAGUCCCAAUCAUGGAAGAGAAAUUGCACGAUUCUGAGGAAUCCUUGAACAAAUCUAAAGAGCGGCUUGCAGAGGUGAAGAUGCAGUCAAUCAAGUUGCAGAGGGCCUUUCCGACUUUCAGACCUGAGGACUGUAAGUUAAAUUUAUUGAUUUCAAAGCCAAUAUUUAAGAAUUCUCUACUUUCUCAUUAUUCAGCUGUUGGGUUCCACAUUAACAGGGAAAGAGAAUGAGUCCUUGGAGUUCUCAGCCAACAGUCAACUGCCAAAUAUUGAUGCAAAUUCAAAAUGGAGGACAGCUGAACAAAAAAAACAUAUUCUGAGAACGUUGGAGAAGUCUCUUGCACGAGA